UACGGAGGAUGCAAGCGUUAUCCGGAAUGAUUGGGCGUAAAGCGUCCGCAGGUGGCUAUGUAAGUCUGCUGUUAAAGAGUGAGGCUCAACCUCAUAAAAGCAGUGGAAACUACAUGGCUAGAGUGCGUUCGGGGCAGAGGGAAUUCCUGGUGUAGCGGUGAAAUGCGUAGAUAUCAGGAAGAACACCGGUGGCGAAAGCGCUCUGCUAGGCCGCAACUGACACUGAGGGACGAAAGCAUGGGGAGCGAACAGG
rnacentral:rRNA from 1 species